UGGAGGGUACAGAGGGAAGGAGGAUGUGAAGGGAGAGGAAUAAUAGAAACCUUUUUAAUAUAUUGAUGUGAAAUGAGAAGUAAUUCAGAAAUGCAAUUUAGUGAUGACCUCUCCUCUGGGUGGAUGUGAAAAACAGCCUUGUUUUCUUUUAUAAAGAAAUGCUGGCAUGCUUGACUUUAGUGAAUCAAGAGAAUUGUUUGGCAAAUAACAGUGAUGGUGUGUGUCCUUGUCAGAACACCUGCUGUAUUCUCCCAGCAAACGCUGGGGCCACGGCGUCUCUCCUCUAAUGACACCUCAUCAAUCCGCUCCUAUCAAUGUCCCAGCCAUGGAGGUGACUUCGAGUGCUCAGAAGCCUUAGAAAAUGUCAACGUUUUGGGAGAAAAGUGCUGAGAAUGGAACUCAAGAACCCAAGCAUACUGGCAAGAACUCUACCACUAAGCUUCACUCUUAACUAGAACCACUAAUUAAAGAGACUGCUCUUUCCCCUUCCUAUGUUCUUGACAUCACUUUCAAAGAUAAAUUGAAAUAAAUAUGUGGAAUUUUG